rnacentral:rRNA from 1 species
GACGAACGCUGGCGGCGUGCCUAACACAUGCAAGUCGAGCGGUAACAGGUGUAGCAAUACAUGCUGACGAGCGGCGGACGGGUGAGUAACGCUUGGGAAUCUGCCUGUUAGUGGGGGACAACCCGGGGAAACUCGGGCUAAUACCGCAUAUGCUCUGAGGAGGAAAGCGGGGGACCAGCAAUGGCCUCGCGCUCUGGGAGCGGCCGAUGGCCGAUUAGCUAGUUGGUGGGGAAUGGCCCACCAAGGCGACGAUCGGUAGCUGGUCUGAGAGGAUGAUCAGCCACACUGGGACUGAGACACGGCCCAGACUCCUACGGGAGGCAGCAGUGGGGAAUUUUGGACAAUGGGGGCAACCCUGAUCCAGCCAUGCCGCGUGCGGGAAGAAGGCCU